rnacentral:rRNA from 1 species
UGGUGGGUAGUUUGACUGGGGCGGUCUCCUCCUAAAGAGUAACGGAGGAGCACGAAGGUUGGCUAAUCCUGGUCGGACAUCAGGAGGUUAGUGCAAUGGCAUAAGCCAGCUUGACUGCGAGCGUGACGGCGCGAGCAGGUGCGAAAGCAGGUCAUAGUGAUCCGGUGGUUCUGAAUGGAAGGGCCAUCGCUCAACGGAUAAAAGGUACUCCGGGGAUAACAGGCUGAUACCGCCCAAGAGUUCAUAUCGACGGCGGUGUUUGGCACCUCGAUGUCGGCUCAUCACAUCCUGGGGCUGAAGUAGGUCCCAAGGGUAUGGCUGUUCGCCAUUUAAAGUGGUACGCGAGCUGGGUUUAGAACGUCGUGAGACAGUUCGGUCCCUAUCUGCCGUGGGCGCUGGAGAACUGAGGGGGGCUGCUCCUAGUACGAGAGGACCGGAGUGGACGCAUCACUGGUGUUCGGGUUGUCAUGCCAAUGGCACUGCCCGGUAGCUAAAUGCGGAAGAGAUAAGUGCUGAAAGCAUCUAAGCACGAAACUUGCCCCGAGAUGAGUUCUCCCUGAGACUUUGAGUCUCCUGAAGGAACGUUGAAGACGACGACGUUGAUAGGCCGGGUGUGUAAGCGCAGCGAUGCGUUGAGCUAACCGGUACUAAUGAACCGUGAGGCUUAACCUUACAACGC